rnacentral:rRNA from 1 species
UUUUCGGGAGGCAGCAGUGGGGAAUUUUGGACAAUGGGCGAAAGCCUGAUCCAGCAAUGCCGCGUGCAGGAUGAAGGCCUUCGGGUUGUAAACUGCUUUUGUACGGAACGAAAAAGCUUCUCCUAAUACGAGAGGCCCAUGACAGUUCCGCAGCUACUUAAGUA